UUCACUUAAGUCUGUGUGUCUUUAGCUGUUUCAGGUUCAGGUCUGUCUUCAGCGGCUGUAGCAGGGAUUGUUGUUGGGGUUAUUGCUGUUCUGCUGCUGACUGUUGUAGCUGCUGCUGUGAUUCAUUAUCGCCGCAGGAGCUCCAGAAAUACAGUCAAGGAGAAAAACUCCAAUAAAGGAUUACUGCAAAACAAUGAGGAGGUCCUAAAAGUGUGAUUAUGAAACAAGAAAAAACUGCUUACCUGUAAAACAUAUUGCACUACUGUACCUUGAUCAAACACUGAUUGUAACACUGGACACACUAAUUUUAAGGCAAUAAGUGCACCUUUUUAGCUU